rfam:Aedes albopictus isolate Foshan contig89321, whole genome shotgun sequence.
UAGCCUAGUGGUUAAGGCUAUGGAUCGCCAAUCCGGAGCCGGCGGGUUCGAUUCCCGU